AGCAAAUUGCUAUUAGGCUGUCCGCUUUGUAAGCGGAUGAUCAUGGGUUCGAUUCCCAU
rnacentral:tRNA from 1 species